GGAAAUUAUUCAUCUACAUUAUAUCCGGUGUUGUUGUUUCCUCUCUAUAAUGUGUAGGACACUCCAACUUGUCAGUUUGACACAAUAAAAAUAGUUUCUUUUUUUUAUUAUUAUUUUUUCGAAGUCUGCUCUUCUAAAUUUUAUGCACUUUCAAUUUUUAAAAACAAAAAUAAAAACCACAAGUGUCGGCAAAUUUUUCUUCUUCUUUACUGACUGGUUCUCUAGCAAUUUUUAGUAAUGUAUUAUUGUGUCAAUGAUUCAUGUUUUUCUUCUCGCUUCUGAUUUUUAAUGUCUCAUUCCGUUGUUAAAUCGCAUCGACUGUGCACCCCCGUUGUUAACCUUUCUUUCUCGGUUCCAUUGUGGCUUCUACUUAACGAUUAUAAUAUACGGGAAAGGAAUUCGCUCGUUUUACGGUUAAAAAAAUAAUAAUAAUAAUAAUUCCGAGACGUUGCCAGAAAAGUCCACAAAACGAUUCGGAUGAUUUUCCAGACGAUUUAUGGCACAAAAUAACGCUCGCGUUAUUAAAAAAAUAAUUAUAGAUCCGUUCGUGUGUUUAUGAUUUCUAACGGACGAGAAUUCUUCGCUUUAUAAAAUGUAACUUAACAACGUUGCAUUAGUCACAGAUAAUUAAGUUCGUGUUAGCCGGGUCAUGACUUUUUGUCCACCUCCUCCGAACGGUCACGAGUUUGGCAUCCUUCAACUGCCACCAAUAAUAAUAAUAAUAAUAAUAAUAAAACAUUAACAGCUACUAUAACUUUAAUAAACACGCGAGUCUGUCUAUACACGAUUAUUAUAUUUAUGUUACGACUGGCGAGUUUUAUUUAUUGUUUUAACCUGUUUGGUUUAGAAAACAAUCUCGAGAUGGCAGCACUCUCUGUUGCCCAGUGUCAUUUCCUGAAUGACAACCCAACCUUGACAUCCCUCAGCUUCAGACGUAACAAAUUACGCUCUAUCUCUGUUACGUUACUAGUAGCACCGUGCCACCUUUGUCGUCAUUUUUAUACGCGAAUUUUAUGUUUAUAAUUUCGUUGGGGCGCAUUUAUUUGAAGUGGUCGUUAGUUUGUUUUCGUUCGCAGCCCCAAAACGACCUCGAGAGUCGAGACGAUGAGUGGUAACGAUCGAAAGGCGUACACUGACUCCGAGACGCCUUUAUUGUUUUAACCACCGCACACAUCUGCCUCUUACAACUCUACAUGGAUGAUGAUCGUACAAUACUUAUCGAGUUUGAGUUAAAAAAAAAAAAAUUUCGAAUGCAGUUAUUACAUCCUGGUUCAGCACAUGUUCCUUGACCCAUUUAUCAUUCAGUCUGGUUUGCAUUAGCCUAUAUAUAAAUACACACAUAUAUAUGGGGGCCUUACAUCUUUUGUUUUCUGCAGAACAGGUAAAUUACACCUUUGCAAGCUAGAUAAAAGUUUUUAUGCGAAAAAAAUUAAAAAUUAAUUUCGGUGAUGAAGAUAACCAUCCUACGCCGAGUGUAAAACCGGAUCGUUAAUUCGUUUUUAAAAAGUCGACAGUUGCGUAUCGAAGUAAGUUUUAAUGUUCGCCAUGCACGCUAUAGCUGUGGGAAAUUUUGCGUGCUUACAAUCAAAAUUUUUGCAUAUGUAUUUUUUUUUAAAGGUAAAAUAUGUAAAUCGUGCG
rnacentral:lncRNA from 1 species